CCAGGCAGAGCUGGGGUGGGUUCCCCCCCUUCAUUUAUUUUGCAAAGAGCAGGUAGUGCAUUGGGCUCGCAAGAAACCCCGCCUCCUCCCGGCCCUUUAAAGAGGCAGAUCCCAGAGCCAUGUCUCCCCCUCUCCAACCAAGAAGAGACUGUGAAAGACGAUGAGUGAAUCUAGUGCAAAAUCCAGCCAGCCCUUGGCUUCCAAACAGGAGGAGGACGUGUCUGAGAAGAGAGGACGGGGACGACCCAGGAAGAAGCCUCAGCAGGAACCCAGCGAGGCACCAACCCCCAAGAGACCACGUGGCAGACCAAAGGGGAGCAAAAACAAGGCCACUUCUAAAGGCAGGAAAGCUGCAGUAACACCUGGGAGGAAACCUCGAGGCCGGCCCAAAAAAUCGCAGAAGGACGAAGAGGAGGUGAAUGUUUCGCAGGAGUCAUCCGAAGAGGAGCAGUGAAAACGCUUGAACCCGGCACUACCUCAUCAUUCAACUUACCAAUUUCUCGUCAAGUUCUUGGACUGAGGAAGGAACGAAACACCACAAAACAAAACUCCUUGCUUACAACAGCAGACUUCCCUCUCGGCAGAAGACCAAGACCCCCCGCAACACACAAUAGACGUAACACUGCACCGUUAGCUGCCUUUUCACUUCAGAUCCCCCACACCCCCUGUGUAAGGCUCCCAAGGCCACUCCAGCCUUGCAGGAGGACUGUGGGAUCCGCCCCAGGGGGGUGUCUGCCAUUUAAAGGGGAAUUUGCCUUUCACAGGCAGCGUUGCUGAUUCUCUCUUUCCCACCAGCUCUGCAGAGUUCUCCAUCAGGAAUAGCAUAGUGGGCUUUUUAGUGACACACGUACUUCCAGGCCAGAUUUUAGUGGAUUUUUUUUUUUAAGGUUUGUUUUUGUUGGUUUGUUUUUUCCUCCUCCAUUCACAACUACCUCUGGAUAAUUUAAGUUCCAUUCUCUUAACCAUAGAUAUGCUGCUGCUGUUACUGCUGCUGUACUGGUUACAACAUUUAUUAUUCCAACGUGGUCUUUCUGGUUUUUAUUCCCCCCUCCCCCGGGAAUGAUUCAUUUACGGUAGAGAGCCAAAGUCGGGUGGAUUGGAGGGGGGGUAUUUUAGAGCAUUAGGCUGUUCUACUAUAGAAAGGGACAGAGCCUUUCAAAGGGGUGUGGUGAAGGCAUCCCAUCAACCCUCUCCUCCGGGCUUUCCAGCCAGUUAGUAAAACGAGAGAAAAUGGUACAGCAGCAACCCAUGACCUAUUCCCCACCAGCCCUUAGUGCUCGCAGGUGGGGACAACACCCCUCCCUGUCCCUCUGCCCCCUUGGGAUUAGCUCUCUACUGCCGUGGCCUGGAAACAUUCCCCGGCUGCGCGACAUCACUGAACUGGAGAUGUUGCUCGCUAGAGAGAGAAGCAGCCCGGGUCGGGCGCUGGACUGGGCCUGAAUAACGGCACAGGCAGCCCCGGCCUCUGUUUCCCCACCUGCCUCCGGAGGGGACGAUGUUUGUGAGGUGACUCAGCAAGCUCGCGGGAAGGCACCUCAGCACAACAGCGCCGCGUGCGGCAGCCAAAGGAGGGGCAGGGGCGAGAUAGCGGUUGCUCAUGAAUCCACACCAGGUACUCUUCCCAUACUCCAUGCCUCAGGCUGGGGGAUGAGACUCAGCAGGAAAGUACACAGCAUGAGCGUCUGCCUCCAAUGAGCUACGGGCCAGAGAUCCCUUCGCCACACCACACUCCAUCCCUUAGCUACGACCAACUGCAGCGGAACUGGAGGUUAUUACUAUGGGGAAAGCCAAGGGGGUGAAAGCAGUUUGGGGUUUUACGUUGAGAGUUUUUACUGGGUGUUCAAGUCACCUGUCCAGCAGGGCUGGGGGGACCACGUGGGCAUAAGCCGCGGCUGGAGAAAGCAGGCAGGUGGCUGACAGUUGGCAGGAAGUGGAGGUUUUUGGCCCAUUGUUAAAGACCUUUUGGUUUCCUAAUUGCAGUUACUUGAAUA